rnacentral:rRNA from 1 species
UAUACCGUGAAACUGCGAAUGGCUCAUUAAAUCAGUUAUCGUUUAUUUGAUAAUACCUUACUACUUGGAUAACCGUGGUAAUUCUAGAGCUAAUACAUGCUGAAAAUCCCAACUUCGGAAGGGAUGUGUUUAUUAGAUAAAAAACCAAUGCCCUUCGGGGCUUUUUGGUGAUUCAUGAUAACUUUACGGAUCGCAUAGCCUUGCGCUGGCGACGGUUCAUUCAAAUUUCUGCCCUAUCAACUUUCGAUGGUAAGGUAUUGGCUUACCAUGGUUUCAACGGGUAACGGGGAAUUAGGGUUCGAUUCCGGAGAGGGAGCCUGAGAAACGGCUACCACAUCCAAGGAAGGCAGCAGGCGCGCAAAUUACCCAAUCCCGACACGGGGAGGUAGUGACAAUAAAUACUGAUACAGGGCUCUUUUGGGUCUUGUAAUUGGAAUGAGUACAAUUUAAACCUCUUAACGAGGAACAAUUGGAGGGCAAGUCUGGUGCCAGCAGCCGCGGUAAUUCCAGCUCCAAUAGCGUAUAUUAAAGUUGUUGCAGUUAAAAAGCUCGUAGUUGAAACUUGGGCCUGGCUGGCGGGUCCGCCUCACCGCGUGCACUCGUCCGGCCGGGCCUUCCUUCUGAAGAACCUCAUGCCCUUUACUGGGCGUGUUGGGGAAUCAGGACUUUUACUUUGAAAAAAUUAGAGUGUUCAAAGCAGGCCUUUGCUCGAAUACGUUAGCAUGGAAUAAUAAAAUAGGGCGUGCGUUUCUAUUUUGUUGGUUUCUAGAGACGCCGCAAUGAUUAACAGGAACAGUCGGGGGCAUCAGUAUUCCGUUGUCAGAGGUGAAAUUCUUGGAUUUACGGAAGACUAACUACUGCGAAAGCAUUUGCCAAGGAUGUUUUCAUUAAUCAGUGAACGAAAGUUAGGGGAUCGAAGACGAUCAGAUACCGUCGUAGUCUUAACCGUAAACUAUGCCGACUAGGGAUCGGGCGAUGUUCUUUUUCUGACUCGCUCGGCACCUUACGAGAAAUCAAAGU